GUGGCGUACCAGUGCCGCAGUACUGAGCAGUGUACUGUGGCCUCCAUGACGCCACCUAGAGAGAGGCUGGUUCCUGCCGACAGGGUCUGUGAAGACUCAGGUUCCCCUGUGCGAUGGUUCCAUACACU